AUGGCUGUCGUCAGCUCGUGUCGUGAGAUGUUCGGUUAAGUCCGCUAAUGAGCGCAACCCUCGCUGUGUGUUAUAUGUGUCACACGGGACUGCCGGUCUUAAAGCCGGAGGAGUGGGGAUGAUGUCAAGUCAGCAUGGCCUUUAUAUCCCUGGGCUACACACACGCUACAAUGGCCAACACAAUAGGUUGCUAAGCCGCGAGGUGGCGCCAAUCCAUAAAGUUGGUCUCAGUUCAGAUUGUAGGCUGCAACCCGCCUGCAUGAAGAUGGAGUUGCUAGUAACCGCAGGUCAGCUAUACUGCGGUGAAUACGUUCCCGGGGAUU
rnacentral:rRNA from 1 species